AUGAACUCCUCCUCACGGUGGUCUACAUUUGUCCAAACAAUUGUGAUAGAUUUACUUCAUAGCAGCAGGGCUUUACGCAGGUUCUGUCAUCAUGCGUCCACGCCAGGGUUUCAUGACACCUUGUACAGCUACCUAGGAGGUUGCAUCAUUUGUUCCUUCUUGCUCUCCAGCUGCCCCUUUAACAUUGAUGUCACCAGUUUCCUUCAAAUGCAGAUCCCUUCAAUCCUGUUUGCAAUUUUUCUCUACUAUAUGCAGGUCUCCUCCUCCCUCAGACCUCAGGUCUUGUGUCCAGCUCCUCCAGAUGUUUGUCCAGACCCUCAUGCAGCUGUUUCAAGUCACCCUGGAAAGAAGUAACCAUUGCUAUAGCAGGGCUUCCAGAAGAGGACAUGCAUUUGUCAGCUGCUCUGAAUGCAAACUCAGCAUCUCAGCUUGAAACACCAGCGCGGGUGGGUCUGAAUGAAGAAGUCAUACUUUGCCAUGAAACAGAUGGGGAGAUGCCAGCUCUACUGUGGGUUUGGUGAUCUCCAACAAGAGGCAGUAAAACUGCAGCAGCUGCUGAAUGCAAGUGGAAUCCUUCACAUGUGACAGCAAAAUUCUGUAAGGACUCCCUCCUACAGCUCUAUUUAAACCUGAGAUGGCAAAUGCUGGCGAAAGAAAAAUAAAACAAGAUAGAAAAUAUAAAACAAGAUAUUAAAAUGCAGUCAGUUCUUCCUCUUUCUGUUGUAACUUUAUUAGAAAACAAACAAACAAACAACCCCACAAAAAUCCCACACAGAAGAAAAACUACAUUAAACAUAAAAGAGCUGUUAUUUCCAAGACUUGUGCAAAUCUAAGAUCUGGCUUCUUUUGUACAUUUGUACUAAUUGUUUAGCAGGAAUGAAUCACAUUUGAUUUGAUUCUACUCUUUUGUGAUAAUAAAGAUCCAUGGAAUUCUAAAAGACAGGAAUUUUUUUUUUAAGUCUUCGUUUUUUUAGGACUGGGGAAGCUAGCUAAAAAUAAACCAGCAGCAUCCCUUGCCACAGGUUUUCUAAAAUGCGCAGGAUCACUCUGUCUCUCUGAAAUAUUCUUUACCUGGUACAAAUCACAAUAUGCAUUUGACAAGCUUCUAAUGGGCCAUUAUUGCCUUAAAGCAUCCCUCCAAAUUGCCUAGAAUAAUGGCAGAUGCCUUCACACACAUUAAAACUACAAAAAGAUAGCCAGCUAAUUCCCAACACUGUUUGAUCUACAACCAAAACUUUAAUAACAUUUUAAAGCAAAAUAUGGCAACAAAAUACAUUAAGCUUAAGGAACAAACUGAGCGGAGCUUGAAAUGCUGUUUCCACUAAACCCAACUUGGCCAGUCUAUUGACAACCCUGCUCCCAGAGAUGCAGCUUCAAAUUUUCCUCCAGCCUUUUGUUGCUUCUUGAGCAAAAUCCACGAUACCGAAAAAGGUGCAGUCUGGGUUUGCACAGCUCAGGGGGUUAACGAAAGGCACCGCCGCCCCCCUCAUGAGCCAGCAGGCAGGCUUGCAAAGCCUUUGAAUACCGGUGCAAGCACAUCGAGCCCGUGAGGUGAUGCUACCCAGCGCCCAAAUCAGCCCUAGAAAGAACCUGUAAAAAAACACACCCGAACGAGGCCCGAAGCCGUGCACCGGCGGCAGAAACCUCUCGGUAAUGUUAAUGGCUGAGGCCCCCAGGACCGACCCCCGGCCCCAGCAGAGGCAAGGCGCUGGGAAGCACCGCCGGGUCCCCGAAAGGCACCGAUAGGUCGCCGCAGGGAGGGAGGACGCCGGUUAACCCGUGCCCCAAGCCUUCACUCGGACCGGGGAGGGGCAGCCCGGCCCAGCCCGGCCAGGCCCCGCCGCGCCGCGGCACCGCCCCAGAGCGGCGCGCCCUCACGACACCCCCACCCCCAGCGGAAGCGGCCCUACGGCGCGUGCGCCGCGGGGCCGGCGGGCCCGUCCCUUUCCGGCCGGCACGCGACCUUCCUCGCCCGCCCGCGCCACUGGCGGCGGCGGCGCACUGCACCGGCGCACCGCACCCGCACGCGCUCCCCGCGCGGGUAGGGGCGGGGCGGGGCGCACGCGCGCGGCCGCUAACGCCCGCCCGGCCGCCUCCCUCCCGCCCGGCCCCGCUGGGCCGCUGAGCCGCUCAGCGCGCACGCGCCCUUUGACCCGGCCCGCUCCCCCCGCCCGCCGCGCACAUGUGCUCGCACGUAGGCGCACGCGCCCUGGCGCCGAACCCCCCCCGCCCCCGGUGACGUCGGCAGGCGCAGGCGCGCUCCCUCCCGGCCGCUUCCCCCGGCCGCCGCGGCGCAUGCGCCAGCGCUGCCGUCCACUCGGCCGGGCGCCGGCGCCGCGCGUCUCCCCGCCUUCCCCCGCGGCGGCGCCUGCGCGGUGCGCGCGGUCGGUGCGUGGCGUGCGGCGCGGUGGGGGCGGCUGGGGGCGGGGCGGGUAUAUAUAGUGCGCGGCCGGGGCGGCGGCCUCCCCCUUGUCCCCCGGCCGCCGUCGGAGCUGUGUGCGCAGUGCGUGUGCUCCGGACACCCGGACACGCCGGCCCGG
ensembl:lncRNA